rnacentral:rRNA from 1 species
GGUGAACGCUGGCGGCGUGCCUAACACAUGCAAGUCGAGCGAAGCACCUUACUUGAUUUCUUCGGGAUGAAAGUAUUGUGACUGAGCGGCGGACGGGUGAGUAACGCGUGGAUAACCUGCCUCCAUACAGGGGGAUAACAGUUAGAAAUGACUGCUAAUACCGCAUAAGACCACAGCACCGCAUCGGUGCAGGGGUAAAAACUCCGGUGGUAUGAGAUGGACCCGCGUCUGAUUAGCUGGUUGGUGGGGUAAACGGCACACCAAGGCGACGAUCAGUAGCCGGCCUGAGAGGGUGAACGGCCACAUUGGGACUGAGACACGGCCCAG